GACGAACUUGGCCUCUAUAACCUUCUUUGACAUCGAGGAGGCCCAUUUUGAUGAUGGCUUGUUGAAAGUCCAUGAAGAAUAAAGCUUGGUUCAUGGCGUAGGCAGUGACAAUGCCCCUCGUACGAGGGCUAGCAAACAAUGUCUGGUCGGAAAACAGGACUCCAGCGCCUCUCGAUAGCGCGUUGUAAUACACGUUGUCAAAGCUGUCGGGUGUGGCGUCGAAUGUUUG
rnacentral:misc_RNA from 1 species